GCUGCGAUGGCUGAGUGGUUAAGGCAUUGGAUUUGAAAUCCAGUGGUGUUUCCCUGCUCAGGUUCGAACCCUGCUCGCAGUG